rnacentral:rRNA from 1 species
UACGAAGGGGGCUAGCGUUGUUCGGAAUUACUGGGCGUAAAGGGCGCGUAGGCGGUGUGUCAAGUCAGGCGUGAAAGCCCCGGGCUCAACCUGGGAACCGCGCGUGAGACUGGCACGCUAGAGUUCGGGAGAGGAUGGUGGAAUUCCCAGUGUAGAGGUGAAAUUCGUAGAUAUUGGGAAGAACACCGAUGGCGAAGGCGGCCAUCUGGACCGACACUGACGCUGAGGCGCGAAAGCGUGGGGAGCAAACAGG